AUGCCGUUCCAGCUCAAGCCCGGUCACCACCACGGCGCCAUGGACGGGAAGCCGCCGCCGCCGCCGCCGACGCUCGCGCCCGCCCCGACGCCGCCCGCGCCGCCCAGGGUCUCCCGCCUCCGCAGGCUGCUCGUGAGGGUCUCCGCCUCGGAGCGCCUCGCGGUCGCCGGGGACGGGAAGGAGCGGGAGAAGGAGGAGAGGCCCGCGGCCGGCGGGGAGGCGGAGGUCGGCUCGGUGGGGCUCGACCGCAUGGUGCUCAGCUUCAUGGAGGACUCCGCGGCCGUCGAGCGGCCGCCGCGCGGCCGCUGCAACUGCUUCAACGGCAGCAACUACGAGGAGAGCGACGACGAGGAGGGCUUCUUCCUCCCCUCCGGCCAGGCCUCCGCGCCGCCCCCGUCCGCGGCCGGCGACACCCUGGAGGCACUCAAGGGUUUGGUGCAGAGCGCGAGCGUCGCGGAGCGGAACCUUCUCGCCGACGCUUCCAGGAUCGCCGAGCGGUGCGGCCGGACCUGCAAGGGAAAGGCCGAGUGCCGCCGCGCCGUCGCCGACGGCCUCCGGGCCCUCGGCUACGACGCCGCCGUCUGCAAGUCGCGCUGGGAGAAGACUAAGUCCUACCCCGCAGGGGAGCACGAGUACAUCGACGCCGUGGUUGGGGACGGAGGGCGGCUGAUCGUGGAGGUGCACUUCAGGUCCGAGUUCGAGGUGGCCCGGUCGACCAAGGCGUACCGCGCGGCGCUCCAGGCGCUGCCGCCGCUGUUCGUGGGCACGUCCGACCGGCUAGGGAAGAUCGUGUCCGUGGUGGCGGAGGCGGCGCGGCAGAGCAUGAAGAAGAAGGGGCUGCACUUCCCACCAUGGCGUAAGCCGGAGUACAUGCGCGCCAAGUGGCUGUCCCCGCACGUUCGCACCGGCGACAAGUCGGCCGCAACCCCGUCCCCCGCCGCCUCUGCCACGGCGACGGCGGUGUCGGCGGCGAGCUUCUCGGGCGAGUUCGAGCUGCUGUUCGGCAUGAACAGGAGCGGGGUCUCCCCCACCCCCGGCGAGAAGAUCACGGUGGUGGUGUCGCCGUGGCGCCCGACGGAGGAGGCGGCGAGCAAGAAGCAGCAGCCCAGGGCGAAGGUCGUCACGGGGCUCGCCGCCGUCCUCUGA
rnacentral:rRNA from 1 species